GCUAAUACCGGAUAACAUGUUGAACCGCAUGGUUCAACAGUGAAAGACGGUCUUGCUGUCACUUAUAGAUGGAUCCGCGCCGCAUUAGCUAGUUGGUAAGGUAACGGCUUACUAAGGCAACGAUGCGUAGCCGACCUGAGAGGGUGAUCGGCCACACUGGAACUGAGACACGGUCCAG
rnacentral:rRNA from 1 species